GACGAACGCUGGCGGCGUGCUUAACACAUGCAAGUCGAGCGGUAAGGCCCUUUCGGGGUACACGAGCGGCGAACGGGUGAGUAACACGUGGGUGACCUGCCCUCAGCUCUGGGAUAAGCCUGGGAAACCGGGUCUAAUACUGGAUAUGACUCCAUGACGCAUGUUGUGGGGUGGAAAGCCUUGUGCGGCUGAGGAUGGGCCCGCGGCCUAUCAGCUUGUUGGUGGGGUGANGGCCUACCAAGGCGACGACGGGUAGCCGGCCUGAGAGGGCGACCGGCCACACUGGGACUGAGACACGGCCCAGACUCCUACGGGAGGCAGCAGUGGGGAAUCUUGCGCAAUGGGCGAAAGCCUGACGCAGCGACGCCGCGUGAGGGAUGACGGCCUGG
rnacentral:rRNA from 1 species